UACGAAGGGUGCAAGCGUUAAUCGGAAUUACUGGGCGUAAAGCGCGCGUAGGUGGUUCAGUAAGUUGAAGGUGAAAUCCCCGGGCUCAACCUGGGAACUGCCUCCAAAACUGCUGAGCUAGAGUAUGGUAGAGGGUAGUGGAAUUUCCUGUGUAGCGGUGAAAUGCGUAGAUAUAGGAAGGAACACCAGUGGCGAAGGCGACUACCUGGACUGAUACUGACACUGAGGUGCGAAAGCGUGGGGAGCAAACAGG
rnacentral:rRNA from 1 species